rnacentral:rRNA from 1 species
UGAGUAACCUGCCCUUAACUCUGGGAUAAGCCUGGGAAACUGGGUCUAAUACCGGAUAUGACUCCUCAUCGCAUGGUGGGGGUGGAAAGCUUUUGUGGUUUUGGAUGGACUCGCGGCCUAUCAGCUUGUUGGUGAGGUAAUGGCUUACCAAGGCGACGACGGGUAGCCGGCCUGAGAGGGUGACCGGCCACACUGGGACUGAGACACGGCCCAACG